rnacentral:rRNA from 1 species
GAUGAACGCUAGCGGCAGGCCUAACACAUGCAAGUCGAGGGGUAGCAGGAUUAAGCUUGCUUAAUUGCUGACGACCGGCGCACGGGUGCGUAACGCGUAUGCAACCUACCUUAUACUGGGGUAUAGCCCGGAGAAAUUCGGAUUAAUCCCCCAUAGUACUAAUGAAUCGCAUGGUUUAUUAGUUAAAGCAUUGCGGUAUAAGAUGGGCAUGCGUCCUAUUAGCUAGAUGGUGAGGUAACGGCUCACCAUGGCUACGAUAGGUAGGGGGCCUGCGAGAGUGGUCCCCCAAUCAGGGACUGGGACACUGAGCAGGCUCCUACCGGAAGCAGCAGUGAGGAAUAGUGGUGGAUGGGCGCAAGCCUGAACCAGCCAUGCCGCGUUCAGGAAGAAUGCCCUAUGGGUUGUAAACUGCUUUUAUUUGGGAAUAAACCUCUUUACGUGUAGAGAGCUGAAGGUACCAAAUGAAUAAGCACCGGCUAACUCCGUGCCAGCAGCCGCGGUAA